CUCCUCCUAAAGAGUAACGGAGGAGCACGAAGGUUGGCUAAUCCUGGUCGGACAUCAGGAGGUUAGUGCAAUGGCAUAAGCCAGCUUGACUGCGAGCGUGACGGCGCGAGCAGGUGCGAAAGCAGGUCAUAGUGAUCCGGUGGUUCUGAAUGGAAGGGCCAUCGCUCAACGGAUAAAAGGUACUCCGGGGAUAACAGGCUGAUACCGCCCAAGAGUUCAUAUCGACGGCGGUGUUUGGCACCUCGAUGUCGGCUCAUCACAUCCUGGGGCUGAAGUAGGUCCCAAGGGUAUGGCUGUUCGCCAUUUAAAGUGGUACGCGAGCUGGGUUUAGAACGUCGUGAGACAGUUCGGUCCCUAUCUGCCGUGGGCGCUGGAGAACUGAGGGGGGCUGCUCCUAGUACGAGAGGACCGGAGUGGACGCAUCACUGGUGUUCGGGUUGUCAUGCCAAUGGCACUGCCCGGUAGCUAAAUGCGGAAGAGAUAAGUGCUGAAAGCAUCUAAGCACGAAACUUGCCCCGA
rnacentral:rRNA from 2 species